GGAUGAAGGAAGCAGUAGGCUAACCUGGAUCCACACUUGCUAAAUUUCCAAGAGGAUUUUUGUGGGAGAGGUGGAGCUGCUAGUGGAAUGUCCCAGAUCUUUGGAGGCAGCCUGCAAGACUGCUGGAAAGGACAGAGGAAUACCUGCCUCUACCACAUAACAUUUUCUGGUGGAUGGGUAGCAUCUUUGAAUAAGGAAUCAAAGAAAUUGCAAGGAUUGGUAAAAGAUUUUCAAAGAAAAUUUUGAAGGAAAGCUGCUGUAAAUCAGAGAAGUCUCAGUCUUGAAACACAGAGAUGGAAGUAAUAUAGCAGAUUUCUGCAUCUACACAUCUUAUGUAAAAGCUAUGAAAGAACAAGCAGUUGUCAGCAAGAGGCUGGUGAAAUUUGAGGAUUCAAUCGAACUCUGAGACUGCAGGGCACUGGCGGCUGAGUUAAAGAUUGGGGGUUUUCUUAAAGCUGAGUAAGACCAAACCUUGUCUAGGAAACUCCUGCUGGUUGACCUCAGUGUCCUUCAUGGGUCUGCUGGGCACAGACUAACGUUGCAGAACCUUCCUCUGAACAGCAGGCCUGAAUCUCUUUAUUCCAAGGUUCACUUGGCACAGCAGGCAGGCAGGGCUGGAACUGCCUGGUUCUCAGGCUGCUUUGACUCGUGCGUGGGGGCAGCUGUGGUGGGAUCAGAUGGCUCUGUGCCACGUAUGGACUAGUGCAGUGUAGAGACGUCCUGUGCCACACUACGUUGUCCUGUGCCACACUGCGUUCCUGCUGCAUCCUCUGUGCCGGCACUGGAGGGAUGUGAUGAAGGAAUAGUAGGGUAAAAGAGCUUUUUACAAGUCAGUAUUAUUCUCCAGCCUGUUUGAGCCUUCCAGGCAAAAUGCCAAGGGAAGAGAAUUAAGUCUGGUGCUUGUCUGUGAAUUUAGCUCAGAAAUUACUUGUGAAGGGAACCUCACUACUGCUGACCUAUUAUGGUGCACAUGGGAAGUUGACACCUUAGAGAAUUCAUUGACCAGCCUGUUUGUUGCAGACUGUUUCAUUCAUGAGCUAUUGAGAGACUGAAAUGGCUUUUAAAACAAAGAUUAUUGAGUAAUAAGCUGGAAGUUGUUCAUGACUGGGACAUAUCUGGCAGUUCUGCCAUGACACUGAAGCUAGAA